GAUGAACGCUGGCGGAAUGCUUUACACAUGCAAGUCGAACGGCAGCACGGGAGCUUGCUCCUGGUGGCGAGUGGCGAACGGGUGAGUAAUAUAUCGGAACGUAUCCAAUAAUGGGGGAUAACUAGUCGAAAGAUUAGCUAAUACCGCAUACGCCCUGAGGGGGAAAGCUGGGGAUCUUCGGACCUAGCGUUAAUGGAGCGGCCGAUAUCUGAUUAGCUAGUAGGUGAGGUAAAAGCUCACCUAGGCGACGAUCAGUAGCUGGUCUGAGAGGACGACCAGCCACACUGGAACUGAGACACGGUCCAGACUCCUACGGUAGGCAGCAGUGGGGAAUUUUGGACAAUGGGCGCAAGCCUGAUCCAGCCAUUCCGCGUGAGUGAAGAAGGCCUUCGGGUUGUAAAGCUCUUUCGCAAGGGAAGAAAACUUAACCUCUAACAUAGGUUGAGGCUGACGGUACCUUGAUAAGAAGCACCGGCUGACUACGUGCCAGCAGCCGCCGCAG
rnacentral:rRNA from 1 species